rnacentral:rRNA from 1 species
CCUACGGGUGGCAGCAGUGGGGAAUAUUGCACAAUGGGCGGAACCCUGAUGCAGCGACGCCGCGUGAGUGAAGAAGUAUUUCUGUAUGUAAAGCUCUAUCAGCAGGGAAGAAAAUGUCGGUACCUGACUAUGUAGCCCCGUCUAACUCAGUGCCAGCAGCCGCGGUAAUACGGAGGCGGCCAGCGUUAUCCGGAUUUACUGGGUGUAAAGGGAGCGUAGGCGGUUUUGCAAGUCUGCAGUGAAAGGUUAAGGCUCAACCAUGGGACUGCUGUGGAAACUGUAAAACUGGAGUGCAGGAGAGGUAAGCGGAAUGCGUGGUGUAGCGGUGAAAUGCGUAGAUAUUAGGCGGAACACCAGUGGCGAAGGCGGCUUACUGGACUAUAACUGACAUUGAGGCACGAAGGCGUGGGGAGCAAACAGGAUUAGAUACCCGAGUAGUC